rnacentral:sRNA from 1 species
GGGGAUGGGGAUGUUGAAUUUGGAAAUUCGAGGGGACGCUGGUGGACGGCACCACCUGUAAUCUACUAUGUCCCUGACUUCAUCUCCAAAGAAGAGGAGGAGUAUUUGCUUCGACAGCACCAUCAGCCUGGGCUCCCACACCGUGCUAGACUUCUACGAGCCACGGCGGCCAGAGGACGAUGACCCUACAGAACAGCCUCGGCCUCCGCCCCGGCCCACCACCUCGCUACUGCUGGAACCGCGCAGCCUGCUGGUGCUCCGCGGCACCGCCUACACGCGCUUCCUCCACGGCAUCGCCGCCGCCCGCGUAGACGCGCUGGACACCGCCUCCCCGCCGCCCAAUGCGGCAGCCUGCCCGUCGGCGCGGCCGGGAGCCUGCCUGGUGCGCGGCACCCGGGUCUCACUGACCAUCCGCCGCGUGCCCCGCGUGCUGCGCGCCGGCCUCCUGCUGGGCAAGUGACCGCCAGGGCCGGGACCCCUCGGAUUCCCAGGUUCCUGCCCCCUUGGGGCUGCUGUGACUCUGCGACCUAGGAACCGUGGGCAGAGGGGGCUCCCCUGGGUUAUUUAUUUUCCCAAUAAUUUUGUGUGAGCUACAGAAGACCCCAUACCAAAUAAACAAAAAAUCUUUC